CGCGGUACGAGCAUGACAACUGGCCGACCUUUACUCAACAGAAGUUAUUUCUCCUGUCGGCCCAAAAACUGCGAGCGAAGAGUGGCAAGGCUACGUUGGUUCUACCCAUUCUCUGCCCCCCAUUAUAUCUAGCGCCCUUCUGGGCUUGGGUAUUGUAAAAAGUGCAUCAGUACAAUGAUCCCACCUUAAAGACGACAUGCAGGCAAUGCAACUUGAAUUGCCGCAAGCCACAUAAACAGACAAGAUCAUCACUGCAGUUGAACCAUGAAGACAUUUCCAUCAGAAUACAAGUGGCACUGUUGUGAAGGUGCAUCAUGCUUCAAAAGCAGUAGUGAGAGUGGUACAUAACAUGCAAAAUCAGAGCGCUUUUGAUGUUUUGUUUCCUGCCAACAACAGUGCCGAGUUGCUUUUGUGCUGAUUUCAAUGCUGUACGCGGCUGUUUGUAUAACUUAUAUGUGCUGUCAAGCUUAUGCUAGACUGCAAGGUGCAGCCAAGCAACGACCACACAGAACGGCAACACUUCACCCAGACAAGAAAAUAAAGGACACCAAGAAGAGCACAGUAAUAUAAUGCAGAAAAAGCUUUGCUUACUUUAACAAUCAUAUUCAAUGACUAGUGUUUUUUAUCCAAGAGUUGUAAGCGCAUGUGCAGGUUAUACACAGGGCAGAUGGUACAUGCAAAAAGAUAAAAGAUAGUUACAGAAGGUUUGACUAUAUUUAUGAAGAUAAUCUGUAAAAGAUUAAUUGGCACAUCUUGCAUACACAAGAAAACAGCGCAAAAGCAAAACAAACCAGAUGGACGAACGAAGUGCCGACACGGCGUUUUAUUUGUCCUCUUCAUCUGCCCUUGUAUAUUUGUGCCAUCUUCUCAGGCCUGUUUAUGAGAAUCACAGAAUGUGCUCAAUUGCUCAAUGUGCUAAGGGAACUAAUGGUAGAAGACCUCA